rnacentral:rRNA from 1 species
AUUGAACGCUGGCGGCAGGCCUAACACAUGCAAGUCGAACGAGUGGCGGACGGGUGAGUAAUGUCUGGGAAACUGCCUGAUGGAGGGGGAUAACUACUGGAAACGGUAGCUAAUACCGCAUACCAUCAGAUGUGCCCAGAUGGGAUUAGCUGGUUGGUGGGGUCACGGCUAACCUAGGCGACGAUCCCUCGCUGGUCUGAGAGGAUGACCGGCAACACUGGACCUGAGACACGGUCCAGACUCCUACGGGAGGAAGCAGUGGGGAAUAUUGCACAAGGGGCGCAAGCCUGAUGCAGCCAUGCCGCGUGUAUGAAGAAGGCCUUCGGGUUUUAAAGUACUUUCAGCGGGGAGGCGUUACUCGCAGAAGAAGCACCGGCUAACUCCGUGCCAGCAGCCGCGGUAAUUC